CUGAGGUCUCUGGGGAAGGCAGGACAGUGGUCCAGAAGAUGAGACCAUUGGGUCUUCUACUGUGCCUGGUGACAGCUCCCCAAUGUGUCCUGUCACAGGUGCAGCUGAAGGAGUCAGGACCUGGCCUGGUGAAGCCCUUGGAGACCUUGUCCCUCACUUGUACAGUCUCUGGUUAUUCCAUUACCAGUGGUAACUAUGUCUGGAGCUGGGUCCGCCAGCCUCCUGGGAAGAGCCUGCAGUGGAUUGGGUACAUAACUUCUGGUGGAAGCACUAACUACAGUCCAUCCCUCAAGAGCCGAAUCUCCAUCACCAGAGACACGUCCAAGAACCAGUUUUCCCUGCAGCUCAGCUCUUUGACCACAGAGGACACAGCUGUGUAUUACUGUUCAAGCUCAGAACAUCUGUAUAUGUCACUAACUCAUGUGCUUGUUCUUCUG